CGCCGCCGCGGCCGCCGCCUCCCGCCGCCUGGGUCCCGGCCCGCGCAGCGACCCCUGCCGGCCGGCCGGGCGCGGCCCGACCCCGGGUGCCUCCCGGGAGGCGGCGGCGGGAGCCCGGGAGCGGCGGCUGCUUCCGGGCCGGCGCCCGCUGCCGGGACCGCUCGGACCCUGUUCUCGUGGCCUCUCCGCCCGGGAAGCGGCUCCUCUCUACGCUCCCCAAGGGGGCGCCGUAGCCGGCACCGCGCGCAUCCCGAGCCCCUCGGAGCCUGGGACCGGGAGCCCAGACCCCCCUCCCCGAGAUGUCCCCGCCUCUCACCCGGGGAGACCGUGCGAACGCUUCCCGAGCCGCCCCUCAUGCCCCGUCCCAGCGCCUCUCCCUCCUCCAUCCCGGGGUCCCCGGGCCGCCACCCUCGGGGCCAGCCCCUGCCCGCCAGCUGCUUCCUUUGCAGGCAACGCCGUCGCCUCCUACAGAGCGUUGCGCUCCCUGAGACCCCGAGUCUUCGCUGGGUGGGUGGCCCUCCCAGCCGGGGUCCCCCGUCCCCCCAAUGUUGCCCUUUGAGCGGCAGAGCAGGGAGGUGAGGAGCGGGGAGGGGGCGCGCGGUCUGCGGGCGUGCGUCCGCGCCGGGCGGACUCCUUCUGUAAGUGCGAGGCCGGCUGCAGUUUUGGGAGUCACGGUGGCCGAGUGGUUAAGGCGUUGGACUCGAAAUCCAAUGGGGUUUCCCCGCACAGGUUCGAAUCCUGUUCGUGACGGCCGCUUUUUUCUCCCCCUUUUCCCUUCAGGACCCGUAAAGGGAACCCCUUGUUUUCGCACAUGUCUCAUGCACUUACCUUUCUGCCUUGGAAAGUGAAGCCGGAAGGUCUCACCCUUGGAUUUGGGGGAAAUGGGGGCGAUCUUGGAAGCUUAUUGUCCACAACCAUAUCGGCUGCUAGUAUACAAGGCACUCUCAGAACUCGGUAACUGCAGGUUUGCUAGCCGAACUUUGACGUCGUUUCAUGCUUUCGGUAGGGAACAGCAAAGGAUUUGAAAAAGGGUUACGUUUUGUUUGGGAAUGUGAAUACCUGUUGUGCUGUCAUAGUCAAAACUGAAGUUUCCAGGGGAGAGGGCGCCUCUGGAUUUGAUGACCGGAAGUCAUGUCUGGAUCGAGUGCAAGCUGGGCCUACCGCUAGCCGGAGCCUUUAUUUGGAAAGUCGGAGUUCUUGUGAGAACUACAUGAGUUAUAUGUAAAGCUGUACCACAGCCUGCACAAUGUAGCCGGAGACCUUAAAACUUUCCACAGCUGCCCUAGCUGGCUUGGCUCAGUAGAUAGAGUGUUGGCCUGCAGACUGAAGAGUUGUGGGUUCAACUCCGGUCAGGGGCAUAUGCCCGGGUGUGCAGGAGGCAAGUGAUCAAUGGUUCUCUCUCAUCACUGAUGUUUCAAUCUCUCUAGCCCUCUCUCUUCCUCUCUGAAAUCAAUAAAAAUAUAUUUUUAAAAAACUCUC